rnacentral:rRNA from 1 species
UGAAUACGAGAUGCUACGGCGUCGAAGCAGUCUAUGUCAUACUUCCAAGAAAAGCUUGCACUGUCAUAAACAAAUAAUGCCUGUACCAUAACCGACACAGGUGGGUAGGUAGAGUAUACUAAGGGGCGCGAGAUAACUCUCUCUAAGGAACUCGGCAAAAUGACUCCGUAACUUCGGGAGAAGGAGUGCCUUAUUUAUAAGGUUGCAAUAACAAGAUCCAAGCAACUGUCUACCAAAAACACAGGUCUCCGCUAAGUCGUAAGACGAUGUAUGGGGGCUGACGCCUGCCCAGUGCCAGAAGGUUAAAGAAGUUGGUUAGCAUCCGCGAAGCUGAUAACUGAAGCCCUGGUGAACGGCGGCCGUAACUAUAACGGUCCUAAGGUAGCGAAAUUCCUUGUCGGGUAAGUUCCGACCCGCACGAAAGGCGUAAUGAUUUGGAUACUGUCUCGGAGAGGGGCUCGGUGAAAUAGACUUGUCUGUGAAGAUGCGGACUACCUGCACCAGGACAGAAAGACCCUAUGAAGCUUUACUGUAACCUGAAAUUGAAAUUGGACUUUACUUGCGCAGUAUAGGUGGGAGGCGUUGAGAAUAUUCUUGCGGGAUUAUUGGAGCCAUCAGUGAGAUACCACUCUUGUAAUGUUAGAUUUCUAACUUUGUAUCAUUAUCUGGUCAAAGAACAGUUUCAGGCGGGCAGUUUGACUGGGGCGGUCGCCUCCUAAACGGUAACGGAGGCGCACAAAGGUUUCCUCUGAACGGGUAGAAAUCGUAUCUAGAGUGUAAAGGCAUAAGGAAGCUUGACUGUGAGACCUACAAGUCGAGCAGGGACGAAAGUCGGUCUUAGUGAUCUGACGGUGCUGAGUGGAAAGGCCGUCACUCAACGGAUAAAAGUUACUCUAGGAUAACAGGCUGAUCUCCCCCAAGAGUUCACAUCGACGGGGAGGUUUGGCACCUCGAUGUCGGCUCAUCGCAUCCUGGGGCGGUAGUACGUCCCAAGGGUUGGGCUGUUCGCCCAUGAAAGCGGUACGCGAGCUGGGUUCAGAACGUCGUGAGACAGUUCGGUCCAUAUCCGGUGUAGGCGUUAGAAUAUUGAGAGGAGCCUUCUUUAGUACGAGAGGACCGAGAAGGACAUACCUCUGGUGUACCAGUUAUCGUGCCAACGGUAAACGCUGGGUAGCUAUGUGUGGAGUGGAUAACCGCUGAAAGCAUCUAAGUGGGAAGCCCACCUCAAGAUAAGUAUUCUCAU